rnacentral:SRP_RNA from 1 species
GCCUUGAGGCAAUGUUGUCUUUGUGAAGCGUGUCAGGUCCGGAAGGAAGCAGCACUAAGCAGAGUUCGCAUGUGCCUUAAGUUAAUA